rnacentral:rRNA from 1 species
CAGAGUUGAUCCUGGCUCAGGAUGAACGCUAGCUACAGGCUUAACACAUGCAAGUCGAGGGGAACGACAUCGAAAGCUUGCUUUUGAUGGGCGUCGACCGGCGCACGGGUGAGUAACGCGUAUCCAACCUGCCCACCACUUGGGGAUAACCUUGCGGAAGUAAGACUAAUACCCAAUGACGUCUCUAGAAGACAUCUGAAAGGGAUUAAAGAUUUAUCGGUGAUGGAUGGGGAUGCGUCUGAUUAGCUUGUUGGCGGGUAACGGCCACCAAGGCUACGAUCAGUAGGGGUUCUGAGAGGAAGGUCCCCCACAUUGGAACUGAGACACGGUCCAAACUCCUACGGGAGCA